rnacentral:rRNA from 1 species
GAUGAACGCUGGCGGCGUGCCUAAUACAUGCAAGUCGAGCGAACAGAUGAGGAGCUUGCUCCUCUGACGUUAGCGGCGGACGGGUGAGUAACACGUGGAUAACCUACCUAUAAGACUGGGAUAACUUCGGGAAACCGGAGCUAAUACCGGAUAAUAUAUUGAACCGCAUGGUUCAAUAGUGAAAGACGGUUUUGCUGUCACUUAUAGAUGGAUCCGCGCCGCAUUAGCUAGUUGGUAAGGUAACGGCUUACCAAGGCAACGAUGCGUAGCCGACCUGAGAGGGUGAUCGGCCACACUGGAACUGAGACACGGUCCAGAAUCCUACGGGAGGCAGCAGUAGGGAAGCUUCCGCAAUGGGCGAAAGCCUGACGGAGCAACGCCGCGUGAGUGAUGAAGGUCUUCGGAUCGUAAAACGCUGUUAUGAGGGAAGAACAAAUGUGUAAGUAACGAUGCACGUCUGGACGGUACCUAAUCAGAAAGCCACGGCUAACUACGU